GUAGGUGGCAAGCGUUAUCCGGAAUUAUUGGGCGUAAAGCGCGUGUAGGCGGUUCUGUAAGUCGGACGUGAAAGCUCCUGGCUCAACUGGGAGAGGUCGUUCGAGACUGCGGAACUUGAGGUCGGGAGAGGGACGUGGAAUUCCCGGUGUAGUGGUGGAAUGCGUAGAUAUCGGGAGGAACACCAGUGGCGAAGGCGGCGUCCUGGCCCGCACCUGACGCUAAGACGCGAAAGCGUGGGUAGCGAACGGGAUUAGAUACCCCGGGUAGUCCACGCCGUAAACGGUGGAUACUAGGUGUUGGUGGCUAUCGUCAUCAGUGCCGUGGCUAACGCGUUAAGUAUCCCGCCUGGGGACUACGGCCGCAAGGCUA
rnacentral:rRNA from 1 species